rnacentral:rRNA from 1 species
GGCUCAGGAUGAACGCUAGCUACAGGCUUAACACAUGCAAGUCGAGGGGCAGCAUGGAGUUGCUGCAAACUCUGAUGGCGACCGGCGCACGGGUGAGUAACGCGUAUCCAACCUUCCCUAUAGUAGAGGAUAGCCCGGCGAAAGUCGGAUUAAUACUCUAUGUUUUCCGUUGCAGACAUCUAAGAUGGAACAAAGGCUUGCCGCUAUAGGAUGGGGAUGCGUCUGAUUAGAUAGUAGGCGGGGUAACGGCCCACCUAGUCGACGAUCAGUAGGGGUUCUGAGAGGAAGGUCCCCCACAUUGGAACUGAGACACGGUCCAAACUCCUACGGGAGGCAGCAGUGAGGAAUAUUGGUCAAUGGGCAAGAGCCUGAACCAGCCAAGUAGCGUGCAAGGAUGACGGCCCUAUGGGUUGUAAACUGCUUUUAUAUGGGGAUAAAGUCACCCACGUGUGGGUGUUUGUAGGUACCAUAUGAAUAAGGACCGGCUAAUUCCGUGCCAGCAGCUGC